GGGAGUCUUGUCCUAACAGGGCAGGUCAUAUUGUCUCGUUUUUACUUUUAAUGGAGGAAUAAAUUUUAUAAUUGAGAGCCGUGCUAAACUCUCCACCAGUGGAGCUACAUCCCCAGUGCCUAGGUCAAUUUUUUUUCCAGGAAAUAAUGGAUGUGACAUGACUUUGGAAGACAAUUUACAGUGUGAGGAGCAUGGACUCCUGAGUGGUGAAGGCUAUCCAUUGCUGCAUUGAAAGGAACCUGGACAAGUGGCUGGAAGCUGGUCUGACUUCUCUGCCAGAAGUUGCUUCCUCUCCUUUGCUGCUGGGCAGUCACGGAGGCUUCUUGCCCUGACUGCCACGUGCCAGCAACCACCUGUCCUCGCUUGAGUGAGGAGCAGGUGUAGCUCUCUUGGUUCUUCUCAUUGGGCCUAUGAGAGGAUUAAUUAGUUGGGGCUGGGGACUCUGGAUUUGCUGUACAGUGGAGUG
ensembl:lincRNA Gm829 predicted gene 829